rnacentral:rRNA from 1 species
CCUACGGGAGGCAGCAGCAAGGGAUAUUGCGCAAUGGGCGAAAGCCUGACGCAGCGACGCCGCGUGAGGGAUGAAGGCCUUCGGGUCGUAAACCUCUUUUAUUGGUGAAGAGUAAGGACGGUAACCAAUGAAUAAGCCUCGGCUAACUACGUGCCAGCAGCCGCGGUAAUACGUAGGAGGCGAGCGUUAUCCGGAUUCACUGGGCGUAAAGCGCGUGUAGGCGGCCUUUUAAGUUGGCAGUUAAAGGUCCCGGCUCAACUGGGAUUUGCCUGUCAAUACUGGGGAGCUUGAGGGCACCAGAGGAAAGUGGAACUCGCGGUGUAGCGGUGAAAUGUGUAGAUAUCGCGAGGAACACCAGUGGCGAAGGCGGCUUUCUGGGGUGUUCCUGACGCUGAGGCGCGAAAGCGUGGGGAGCGAAGCGGAUUAGAUACCCGCGUAGUCCACGCCCUAAACGGUGGAUACUUGGUAUGGGGGGUAUCGACCCCCUCCGUGCCGAAGCUAACGCUUUAAGUAUCCCGCCUGGGAACUACGG